UAGGAUGGGGAAGAAGGUCGUUAUGGACUU
rnacentral:piRNA from 1 species